rnacentral:rRNA from 1 species
AGUGAACGCUGGCGGUAGGCCUAACACAUGCAAGUCGAACGGCAGCACAGUAAGAGCUUGCUCUUACGGGUGGCGAGUGGCGGACGGGUGAGGAAUACAUCGGAAUCUACUUUUUCGUGGGGAUAACGUAGGGAAACUUACGCUAAUACCGCAUACGACCUACGGGUGAAAGCAGGGGAUCUUCGGACCUUGCGCGAUUGAAUGAGCCGAUGUCGGAUUAGCUAGGUGGCGGGGUAAAGGCCCACCAAGGCGACGAUCCGUAGCUGGUCUGAGAGGAUGAUCAGCCACACUGGAACUGAGACACGGUCCAGACUCCUACGGGAGGCAGCAGUGGGGAAUAUUGGACAAUGGGCGCAAGCCUGAUCCAGCCAUACCGCGUGGGUGAAGAAGGCCUUCGGGUUGUAAAGCCCUUUUGUUGGGAAAGAAAAGCAGCAGGUUAAUACCCCGCUGUUCUGACGGUACCCAAAGAAUAAGCACCGGCUAACUUCGUG